CAAAUAUAUAUGUAUUAAGAUAAAAUCAGUUUAAGUUUAUCUCUAAAAAUUGUUAAUAUUUAUUUAUUAUUCCAAAUAUAUAUAAUGAUAAAUCAUCAUCAAAAACAUUAAAUUGUUUAUUAAAAAUAAUGAAUCAGUCUAAAAUCAUGGAUAAUGAUCGAAAUCACUUCUCAAAUAAUAGUAUAGAUUAGAUUUCAACCAUUUUACCUUUUAUCAUAUUUUUAAUUGGUUUGAAACAUAUCAACUUAUGUUAAGAUUUGACUUAUGCCUUCUUCUUUUUUUCUUUUUUCUUUUUUUUUUAUACUUUGAAUCUAUUUAGCUUCGAUUCAGUUUUAGAUACAUGUAGUUAAUGCAAGCAACCAAUCAAAGAACACACUAGAAUUGUUUACCAUGACUUCGUUGAUCUACACUUCAAGGAAGAGAACAAAAGUCUUAUACUUUCACUGAAUACAUUUAAUCGAUAUACCUAUCGUAUUAAAAAUGAUUUUUCUUCUCUACUACAUGUAUAAAGAGUACAAAUAACUGGAUCUCAACCGCUGAAACCUACAGAAAGAUUAAGAUGAUGAUCAUGACUUCUCCACGUAUCACCGAUCACACACCAAAAAAUAGUCACCACGAGCUCUUGGUGUCGCUGAGAGCAAUCAAGUAAAAUGAUCAUCUUGAUUCUAUCUAUCUCUUUUCUUAUUUUUUAUCGUCUCUCUCACUUUACUUUAUUGCUUUCUCUCUUUUGUGAAAUUUAGCUUCUUUCGACUCUUAGGAUUCAUCAGUGGCUACGUCAGAGAAACCGUCAUGAACUGCGUUAGGAUUUGGUGAUUGAAAUCAAACAAGAUUGAGUAACUUAAACCAAGACAAUGACGUCAUGUUAGGAAAAUGAAAUGUCACAUUUAUGGAGAUAUGGAAGUCGGCAGGAUCGUGGAAAUAUUACUUUCAUGGAGUUAUGGAAGUUGCAAGUAUUUUGGAAUAUUUCCUAAUAGGUUCAUGGAAAGGGGCGAAUGCCCUAAUCCGACUAGGUUAACCUAAUAGACUCCUACUAUAUAAGAGGAGCUCGUGUGUACUCUUUCUCCUUUGUCCAAGAAAAGACCUAGCUUGGUUUGUGAGCUUUGGUUGUGAGAGAAAGAGAUGUUCUAUAUUCUUUGUACUUGAGAUUAUAGUGGAUUGCCUCUUGCCAGGCCCCAGUGGACGUAAACCAUUCUAGGUGAACCACUGGGUAAACAAUUUCUUGUGUCCAUCUUCUAUCUUUUCCGCAUUCUUCUUCCUAUCUCUAUUAUUCUACAAACUCAACUUUCUUACUUACGUCGUCGAGUUCGUCAGAGAGUGUAUCAGCACGUUUGUGUGUUUGAUUCUUGUUCUUGAGUCAAACAGUUUCGUCGUUGUGGUUUUAACAUCGACGAAGAAUACGUUGACUCGUUGACUGUAGUUGAUCGUUAUAACAACCUUUGGGCAUUACUUCAAAUCCAUUCUCGGCCUACCAAUGUGUAUCAAUAUUUUGCCACUCAGUGACAUCCCAAAUAGCUGCUACACCAAAAUGGCCAUACUUAAAAAUCUCAACCUUUUUUGCCUUUAGUGUCUCCGAGUUCUCCGCCAUUCAAACAACAAACACUCUUCUUGUCUGAAAGUGAAAGCUUUUGGUCCUUUGCCAACAAAUCCAUUUUUACCAUCAGCCAUUGCUCAUAAAAAUUUAGAGUCGCUGAAGCCUCAUACUCCUACUUUUUUCCCGGUUCACCUCCCAUCGAUUUCAACCCGGAACAAAUAAACCAGCUCUUGAAUAAAUUCAGGACCAUCAAGAUCUUCCAUCAAUCACCAUGUAAGUCAUAAUCUCUUUCAUGUACUUUUUUGUCGUUUAAGUCCUUUGAACUCCCAACUAAUCUCGAAAGUUUUGUUUUUGCAUGAUCACUUUAUGAGAUGACCCAAACGACAAAGUCCUCUUGGAGUCUCUCCAGUACAAACAAGUAGUGAAUUUGAGUAUCAUGAGAUACUUCUUGAACGCAUUUGCAAGUAAACAUUUCAUCCACAUAUCUGUUGGAUUCAGGGUAUUGUAAAUCUUCACAAUCUUGACUAGGCCUUUAUCUAUAAUGUCUCGAAUGAAAUGAAACUUGGUAGCUACAUGUUUAGUCCUAACAUGAUGAACUAAGUUUUUAGCAAGCAAAUAGAACUUUGUGAAUCACACUGUAGUCUGAAUUUUUUUGAAUUAAACCCCAAUUCAAUACAAAAAUCUAUUCACCAUAACCGUUACUUGUAGCAUUUGAUUAAACCAUGUACUCAGUCUCUGUGGUGGACAAUGCUACCACAUGCUAUAAUGUUUAUCUCCAAGUUCUUCAAAGGUAACAAAGGUUUCCCAGGAAUACACCACACCUGCAGAUACACUUGCUGCGUAGGGGAGCAAUCCUAAAGACCGCCAUAUUCAAACAUUUAAAAAUCUGUAAAAUAAUCACAAAAUUUAUUAUUAUAAAAUAAAAAUACAUCCGCGCGAGUCUAGUCUUAUUAUUUUUACUGAGUUCUUAAGUUUUCUUACAAGUUUUUAGUUUUUUUUUUUUUUUGGUAAUCAAACAUUUGAUUUUUCAAUAUACGUUUUUCAGAUCAUUCAUUAUCAUGGCCAGUCCAUGACGUAAGCAGAAGAAGCGGCUGUUUAGGGGUUGAACCCACCAUUUUCAAGGAUGAUUUCUCCCAGAAAAUUGGUUUUCAUAUAUUUUAACCUUUCCCCUCUGUAGACAUUUUUGUUUGAUUAGGAUGAAACAAUCUAAGAGAUGCCA